GCAAUUGCAAUUACUGAAAAACGAGUCCUUGUGACAAACAACUUUAACCGAGCUGACCAUGAUGGCUGUAAAGGUCCGUUACGCUCUCAUUGGUCUUGCUAUUUCUUUCCUGAAACAUCCAUGGAGUGUAGAGAUCGUGCAUUUGAACUUAUGGGAAGACCAAAAGCUUGGGAGAAGGGAAUUACUUUUCCUA